CAGCCGCCGCGGGAAUACGUAGGUGGCAAGCGUUGUCCGGAAUUAUUGGGCGUAAAGGGCUCGCAGGCGGUUCCUUAAGUCUGAUGUGAAAGCCCCCGGCUCAACCGGGGAGGGUCAUUGGAAACUGGGAAACUUGAGUGCAGAAGAGGAGAGUGGAAUUCCACGUGUAGCGGUGAAAUGCGUAGAGAUGUGGAGGAACACCAGUGGCGAAGGCGACUCUCUGGUCUGUAACUGACGCUGAGGAGCGAAAGCGUGGGGAGCGAACAGGAUUAGAUACCCCCGUAGUCCCUGUCUCUUAUAC
rnacentral:rRNA from 1 species